GUGUAAGUACUAGCCAUUAUAAAAUGGUGAAACCGCGAAAAGCUCAUUAAAUCGGCUUUGGUUCCUUAGACAGUAUGCAGAUAGGAAUUUUUUCGCGAGAAAAAAUGAAAGUCUGAUUUGGAUAACUGUGGUAAUUCUAGAGCUAAUACAUGGAAAAGAAACAGUGUGAAUGAGAUGUGAUUGUGCGCGUUAAGCAAUCGAUCCGUCGCUAAAAUUUACACGCUUUUAUUAGAGAAAAAAGCCAAUUUUGAUUUUUGCAUUAUUAAUGCGCGGAGUGUGCGUUAUGCGCAUAUUCCGUUGUAAAUUUUGCUGAAAUAAAACACGUAAAAUGGUGUUGAAUCUGAAUAACUUGAAUGAAUUUCCUGCGAAAGAAUUCGAUGUAUUUGAGUUACAUGAUUGUUCAAUUGAGCCAUGCGCAUGCAUUUGUGUGUGUGUGUGUGUUUCAAUGAUGGUCGUUUUGUGCUCACUUUGAAUUCGAUUAGAAGGGAAUUUAAAGCAAACUGCAAAAAAUUGCCAUACUAUCGUUAAAUUGUNUUUGGAAUCGUGUGCGCGUGUUUAUUACGCGUAGACACCAUCGCAAUAGAAAGUAUUUGGUAAAUGCAGUGNNNNNNUCAAUUGUCUGCCUUAUCAACUGUCGAUGGUAGGUUACAUGCCUACCAUGGUUGUAACGGGUAACGGGGAAUCAGGGUUCGAUUCCGGAGAGGGAGCCUGAGAAACGGCUACCACAUCUAAGGAAGGCAGCAGGCACGCAAAUUACCCACUCCCGGCACGGGGAGGUAGUGACGAUAAAUAACGAUCCGGAACUCUAUUGAGUUUCCGAAAUCGGAAUGAGUACAAUUUAAAUCCUUUAACGAGGAACAAAUGGAGGGCAAGUCUGGUGCCAGCAGCCGCGGUAAUUCCAGCUCCAUUAGCGUAUAUUAAAGUUGUUGCGUUUAAAAAGCUCGUAGUCGAAUCUGUAUCUUGCGCUGUCGAUCGCUCGCGAUUCUUUCGCGUAGUUUAGAUGACAUUUUGUAUGCGUAAGAUAUUAUGGUCGGUGGAUUUUUUCGAAAACGACUGUUUCUGANCAUAUUGGACGNGUGUGCAAUAAACAUGCGAAAAAUGUGUCGGUUAUUUGUUUCUUCGGAAAUUCGAUGCGGUUAAUUANGCUUUCGUUUUCGCGUAACGGCAAACGAAAUUUGUGAAAUGGAUUUUACAUUCGCGGCUGUAAAAACGAUUCGCGUUUUGUCAACUGCGUUUCGUUGGUUGUGUUUGUUUUCAAUUUCCAGUUCGUUUUUAGUUUCGUUAAGUGAUUUCGGUGAAUUUUAAACGUUUUCUGAAUGGCUCAAANUGAAUGUGAAAAUGUGUUCGCUUUGUUUUGCUCAUGCAGACCGACUGGAUUACUUUGAAUAAAUUAAAGUGCUUAAAGCAGGCAGAUUUUAAUUGCCUUGAAUAUUAUAAGCAUGGAAUAAUAGAAUAUGAUCUCGAUACUGUUUUUGUUUUAAGAUUUAUUUAUUGCGUACGCGAAGAUGAAUUCGUUGUUUAAUGUAACGUGUUAUACAUGAUACUUUUGCACGAAAGUUGUCUUUGUACGUGAUAUAUAAUAUCAGAAUUGGCUUAAAGAAGUGUAAUUCGUUGAAUUAAAUUUGUGAUUCGAAUUUUGUUCAAAUGAGCGCAAUUCGUUUUGUGUGCGACAAUGAAUUUUCGUUUGUCAAUCGUUAGCAAUUCGUUUAUUGUCGACUUAUUUAGGACAAUAAUGAAUCACUCGAUUCUUUAUAGAGUUACUUCGACAGUAU
rnacentral:rRNA from 1 species